UAUCGUUAAAGGCGAAAAAACCAAAGGCGGUGGUAAUAAUGCGUACUGAGAGAGACACCCAGGGGCAUAAUCGGUGCACAAGUACUCGCACUUAUUUUCGUCCCUUGACGAGUACAUCGUGAUAACGGGCCAUUGCGCAUCACAAUAAUCAACGAGCGAGUCUCAUCUUAUCAGAUAAUCUCACGGUAUCCAAUACCAUCAUCGACUCAUUGACAUUCUGAACUCGUUACAUCAUAACUUCAGACGUCACCACGAGUUCUUGUAACUAUCAUUGAAUCACUCUCCUAAUCUCAAGGUACAUCCUGAGUAAUUGAAUUGAGGAUAAUGUGAUCAGCACCCCCGGUGUGUGGGUAUUGAAUUAAUUAGUAAUCAUUAUUAGAUUUUGAGUAAGACAUAUGAUCUGACAUUUUAUUUUAUUGAAUCCUUGGAUUUGAAUCGAUUAAAUUGUGAAUGUUUGAA